UACGUAGGGGGCAAGCGUUGUCCGGAUUUAUUGGGCGGAAAGAGCGUGUAGGCGGCUAGAUAGGUCCGUUGUGAAAACUCGAGGCUCAACCUCGAGACGCCGAUGGAAACCAUCUGGCUAGAGUCCGGAAGAGGAGAGUGGAAUUCCUGGUGUAGCGGUGAAAUGCGCAGAUAUCAGGAAGAACACCCGUGGCUAAGGCGGCUCUCUAGUACGGUACUGACGCUGAGACGCGAAAGCGUGGGGAGCGAACAGG
rnacentral:rRNA from 1 species